GAGAGUUUUGAAAGAAGAACUUUUAGAUGGAGACUAAAGGAUUACCUCUUAGAUGACCAGAAGAUUGUAGAAAAUGCAAAAAAAAAGCUAACAGAUUAUUUUACGGAUAACUGUGACAAGGGCACAAAGAUUAAUGUGGUAUGGGACGCAAGCAAGGCAGUGAUAAGAGGAUUUUUCAUUCAACAAAAUGCGAUUAAAAAUAAGAACAGAGAGAGGGGUAAAGAAGAAAUCUUAAAGCAGAUAAUGGAUAAUGAAGAAAAAUUAAUCCAGAAACCUAAUUGUCAGAAAAUAAUAGAAAACAUCAAAAUCUUACAAGCCCAAUUUGCCACAAUAAUAAAUAGAGAAGUAGAGUGGAACAUAAAAAAUUAAGACAAAACAAUUUUGAAUUUUCAAAUAAACAAGGCAAAUGGCUUGCAUGGCAAAUUAAAAGAGGAAAGAACAAGGUGUAAUAAAUAGAAUUAUAGCAGAGGAAGAAGAAAUAACUGAUCCAAAAGGAAUCCGGAAAGAGUUUCUGGAUUAUUAUAGAGGCCUUUACAAAAAUAAGGAGAGAAAUAAUUUAAGGAGAAUAGAUAGAUUUUUGAAAGAUAAAAGGGUGCAAAAAAUUCCAGCAGACAAGAAACAACGAUUGAAUAUGCCAAUUGAAAUAGAGGAGAUAGAGGAAACAAUUAAAGACUUAAAGAGGGGAAAGGCUCCGGGGCCUGACGGAUUCACGGCGGGCUAUUAUAAAGAGAUGAAAUCAAUUUUGGUGAAUCCCCUGAAAGAGACUAUGAAUAAUAUCUUAAGUAAAGGAGAAAUUCCGGAGACCUGGAAAGAGGCAUUUAUCACGUUCAUCCCUAAACAAGAUGCAGAUUUAACUCAGGUGAAAAAUUACAGGCCAAUCUCGCUGCUAAAUACGGACUAUAAAAUCUUUGCAGGAAUUCUUGCGAGAAGACUGAAGUGUCUAUUAUCAGAGAUUAUCCACAAAGAUCAGGCCGGCUUCCUUCCAGGCAGGCACAUGAAGGACAACAUAAGAAAUAUAGUCAAUAUGUUAGAAUAUCUAUCUGUCAGGAUUGACAAACAAGUUAUAAUGAUGUUUGUGGAUGCAGAGAAAGCAUUCGACAACGUGAUAUGGGACUUCAUGUUGAAAAACUUGGAACAUAUGGAAGUAGGCAAAGAUUUUUAUAAUGGAGUUAAAGCAAUAUAUACAGAGCAGAAGGCCAAAUUGAUUAUAAAUAACAGUGUGACAGAAGAAAUAAAGGUACAGAAAGGAACAAGACAGGGAUGUCCACUCUCCCCGCUACUAUUUAUAAUGGUAUUAGAAAUCCUUCUAAAUUCAAUCAGGCAAAAUGGAAAAAUAAAAGGAGUGGAAGUUGGACAAAAUGUGUAUAAGACCAAAGCCUUUGCGGAUGACUUAGUAAUAAUGACGGAAGACCCAACAAUUACAAUGGCAGAAAUUCUAAAAGAAAUAGACCAGUUUGGGGAAGUGGCAGGUUUCAGAUUAAAUAAGAGGAAAACGAAAAUGAUAGUUAAAAAUAUGGACCAAAGCAUAAUAGAAACAAUUCAACACCAGUCGCAGAUAGGGGUGGUUAAAAAAGUGAAAUAUCUUGGAAUCUGGUUAACACCUAAAAACAUAGACUUAUUUAAAAACAACUAUGAACCGAUGUGGAGAGAAAUAAGAAAGGACCUGGAAAUGUGGGGAAGACUGAAAUUGUCGUUCUGGGGAAGGAUCAACACUAUCAAGAUGAAUGUAUUACCAAGACUAUUGUUCUUAUUCCAGACCAUUCCUAUAAUUAAGGGGAGCCGAACCUUCAAACAAUGGCAAAGGGUUUUAUCAAGAUUUAUCUGGCAGGGCAAAAAGCCUAGGAUUCAGUUUAAACUGUUAACAGAUAUAAAGGAAAGGGGAGGCUUUGCUCUGCCAGAUCUUAAGUUAUACUAUGAGGCAUCAUGCCUUUGCUGGACAAAAGAGUGGGCAAACUUAGUGAAUACGGAGCUGCUCGAUUUAGAGGGCUUCGAUAAUAGGUUCGGCUGGCAUGCCUACCUAUGGUAUGAGAAAAAGAAAGUACAUAAGGGGUUUGGAAAUCAUAUUUUUAGAGGUCCACUUAUCGAAAUAUGGGAAAGAUAUAAAAAUCUAUUAGAACCCAAGGUCCCACAUUGGCUCUCACCUCUUGAAGCGAUAAGUGUGAAGAAAACUAACAUGAGAAGUAAUUGGGCAACAUAUGGUCAACUAUCAAUUAAAGAAGAUGGGAAAUGGAAGCUAAAGCCAUAUGAGCAGGUUAAGGGUGAGGUGUAUGAUUGGUUACACUACUUCCAAGUCAAUGAAAGGUUCAGAAAAGAUAUUAAAGAAAGAGGGUAUGCAGACAAAGAUUCAAAAUUUCAGAAGGAGAUCCUAAACAAUGACGUGAAAAUAAUAUCCAAAAUGUAUAGGAUAUUGUUAGAUUGGAACUUAGGGGAUGAGGAGGUCAAAGUAGUAAUGACUCGUUGGGCUAAAGAUAUGGGCCAUAACAUACAAUUUGAAGACUGGGAGAAAUUAUGGAAAGAUGGUCUAAAUUUUACUGCGUGUGUAACGGUAAAGGAAAAUGUCAUGAAGAUGUUCUACAGGUGGUACAUAACACCUGUGAAAUUAUCGAAAAUGUAUAAGGUAUCCAGUAGAUGUUGGAAGUGUAAAGAAAAGGAGGGCUCCUUUUACCAUAUAUGGUGGGAGUGCGGGAAAGUGAGAGAAUUUUGGGAAAAAAUAUAUGUCGAACUAAAGAAGGUAUUGAAGUAUACGUUCACAAAAAAACCUGAAAUCUUUCUAUUAGGGAUAUUAGGGAAUGAAAUAAAAAAGAAAGAUUGUAAAUUUGUAUACUAUGCUGCCACCGCAGCAAGGGUUAUAUUUGCUCAGAAGUGGAAAAAGCAGGAAAUCCCAAUGAUAGAGGAGUGGAGAUUAAAGUUAUUAGACUACGCGGAACUGGAUAGAUUAACAGGGAAGAUCAGACAUUUAAGAGACCAAAAGUUCAUUAAGGAUUGGGG